UCAAGUGCUGCCAGCAGCUUCACUGCAGCAGUGAAGCUGGGAGCAGAGUGGUUAUUAGUCAGGGGAGAUGAUAUAUUGUGCAAUUGGGGAAGUUUUGAAGCUCCACCUUCAAAAUUAAAGGCUUGUACUUACGUGCGGGGAUGUUGAGAGGCUAUUUAUACCUUCCUUGAGUUGAAAAUCAGGUUUGUAGCUCUAAUUUUAAAGUUGAUUCUGUUGGAGGUUAUGGGUUUUUUGAGAAUAGAUGGUGUUUUUGGUGCUUGAAGUAUUACACCAAGAGACAUCAAGUUUGGAAUGCUCAACAGUGCUUAGGAGAACCCUAGGGUUAAGAAGUAAGUUAUUGGGCUCCAGUUGAUAUGGGCCCUAAUACGCUUUCACCUAUUGGGCUUGUAUGUGAACAUAUUAUUUGGAUUAUAUAACAAUAUAUCCAACAGAUCCAAAACGGUGCAAUGCUGAUUUUUUGGACUAAACUGAAUCAGUUUUGGAUUUUGAUAAAAUUUGUUUGAUUUUCUUUUAGGAUCUGAGCUUUGGAAGGAUUGGUAGUGAUCUUGACUUCAUUAUCUAGUGAUUAGAAUUUUGUUUGGACCAAUUUGGAGGUAAGAUGAGUAAGAAUUUUAGUUUUCUUCGAGGUCGAAAACUGAAAAACUGUGUUUACGUCGAAGCUGAAUUAUUGGCCUCUAUUUCCUAAUUGUAGUGGAAUUUCGUAAUGAAUUAUAGGGGUCCUAAACUAGUAUAUAUAAUGGAAGAGAGAGAGAGAUCUAUCGUGGACUCUCUUUCAUGAGUUCACGAGGUUAAGAUAACCUUGUGGACUGCGUGCUCAAGCUCAUCGAAGUCGUGUAUUUUGAACAAAGUUUUCAUUUUCUAUCAUGGAAGGCAGAAAACAAAAAUUUGCUUUUUUUAGAGAAAAUUUUUUCACGAGCAACUAAAUUGAAAAAAUAUUUUCAAGUGAAAAAAAAUCAUUUUAGAGUAAUUUUUUAAUGAAGUCAAACACAUCCUAAAAAGUGAUUUUUUUUUAAUAUCUAUAAACAUAAUGAAAGCCCAGUUUUUUAACACAUGGCAGAAAAAGGGGCCGAGUAGGAGUUAUAAGGGGUGGGCCCCAGCCGGCUGAGGUGGGCCCAUACCUCUUUUAUAUAUUUUUUUAUUUUUUAUUUUUUAUUUUUUCUUUUCUAUUGAUUUUGAGGGGCUAAUUUUUUUAAAAUCUAUUAAUUUUUUUCUCUCUCAUUAUGAAAAUUUAAAAUAUAUACAUAUUUUUAAAUAGUUUAGAUUAUAUGUAUUAAAUAUCAAUUUUAAUUUUAUAAUAUUAAUUAUUUAAAUAUAAAUUGUAGAAUAAAAAAAUAAAAGAGCGAUGAAUGAAGUUUAAAUUAAUUACUUAUUUAAUAUAUUUAGUUGCAAAAAUUGAAUGAAGUACUAAUUAAAUUUAUUGUAAACAACACAUUCAAAUUUUGAAGUCAAUGUAUUAUUAAGUGACUUAAACUUAAUAUAUAAAAAGGUUAGAUAGUAAAAAUUAAAUUUUUAAAGGUUGGAUAGCUAAUUCAAAAUAAUUCGUACUUUAGAAAAGUUCUGUACGUUUUUACUUUAAUUUUAAUAUAAAACUUAAAUACCAUAUUUAUAGUUUGAUGAACGAUAAAUUUUACUUUUAAAAUAUUUUGAAAUAUCCAAAAUGUGAUUGGUUGACUUUUAAUUUUAACAAGUAGGCAUUCUAAAAUUUAUUAAAUAUUUUAAUAUAUUCUUUUCUCAAAUAAAAUUACUAAAUAAAUAAACCCGAUCGAUGCUCAAUUUUAUCUUUGUUUGGAUUAAAAUUAACAUAUAAAGA
rnacentral:lncRNA from 1 species